ensembl:snRNA U1 U1 spliceosomal RNA
AAGGACACCUGGCAGGGGAGACGCCAUAAUCAUGAAGGUGGUUUUCCCAGGGCCAGGCUUAUCCAUCGCACUCUGGAUGUACUGACCCCUGUGAUUUCCCCAAAUGCGGAACAGUACAUAACUUGUGGUAGAGGGGGACUGCGUUCACGCUCUCCCGGU